rnacentral:lncRNA from 1 species
UUGGCACAUCAAUAAUAUUCUCAUUCAUCCAUAUCAAAUGUGUACAUAUAUAGUCAUGUCACUAGCUUAAGAUGCUUGCCAUCAAGCCAACAUACAAGCAUGCAUAUAGCAGCUGAAAAUAAAAUCUAGCUAAGUCAUCCAAAAUUGAUCCAACAUUGAUCAAAAAAUAUGACCAUCAUAUAAGACCUUGUGUAUUCUUCAACAAGCAGGUCCAAUUUCACAAUGCAUUAUAUCCUCUCAAGCACAACAAUCU